AUCCGAGUGCUGAAAUUGGUAGACAGGAUAAUCUUAAGUUUUAUUGAUAUUAGUCGUGUGGGUUCGAAUCCCUCCUCGGAUA
rfam:Arthroderma gypseum CBS 118893 supercont1.19 mitochondrial scaffold, whole genome shotgun sequence.